rnacentral:rRNA from 1 species
CCUACGGGAGGCAGCAGUGGGGAAUAUUGCACAAUGGGGGAAACCCUGAUGCAGCGACGCCGCGUGAGUGAAGAAGUAUUUCGGUACGUAAAGCUCUAUCAGCAGGGAAGAAAAUGACGGUCCCUGACUAAGAAGCCCCGGCUAACUACGUGCCAGCAGCCGCGGUAAUACGUAGGGGGCAAGCGUUAGCCGGAUUUACUGGAUGUAAAGGGAGCGUAGACGGCAGCGCAAGUCUGGAGUGAAAUCCCAUGGCUUAACCAUGGAACUGCUUUGGAAACUGUGCAGCUAGAGUGCAGGAGAGGUAAGCGGAAUUCCUAGUGUAGCGGUGAAAUGCGUAGAGAUUAGGAGGAACACCAGUGGCGAAGGCGGCUUACUGGACUGUAACUGACGUUGAGGCUCGAAAGCGUGGGGAGCAAACAGGAUUAGAUACCCGGGUAGUC